rnacentral:sRNA from 1 species
AUCGGUUUGAAGUACAGACCUUAUGAAAGCAGUUUUAGUAAAGUAGUUCUCAGUAUUAGCGAUAUCCGACAGAUACCUCUUCUUCCGCGAAUUUCCUUCUAGUGCCCCCAUAAGUUUCCACUGAAUUGCAGACCUCAUUCGCCAUUAUGGCGGCCUAAAAAAACAAUGAAGGAAGUAUCUAUGUCUAAUAAAAUGACUGGUUUAGUAAAAUGGUUUGACGCUGGUAAAGGUUUUGGUUUCAUUUCUCCUGCUGAUGGCAGCAAAGACGUGUUCGUACACUUCUCUGCAAUCCAGGGUAAUGAUUACAAGACGCUUGAUGAAGGCCAGCAGGUUGAAUUCAGCAUCGAAAAUGGCGCCAAAGGCCCAUCAGCAGUUAACGUUACAGCAAUGUAAUGU